GUGUGUGUGUGUGUGUGUGUGUGAGAGGUCGUGUAGCCCACUUGUAGGCUACUAAAUCUUGCAUGUUGUGUGGAUUUAAACCCUGUUAACAAAGUCACAUUAUGGGGGCUCACCUCCUGUUUGGGACAAAAAGCAGAUCCCCACAAGGUUUAAUAUUACAUUUUAGGAUUAAGGUUAGGGUUAGGCAUGUAACGUUAGAGUGAGUCUCUGGAGAAUAAAUGCAGCUAAGUCAAACAAUGUCCUCCUAAGCUUGUGUGAAAAAUAUGUAGAUGAAGUGACAUGACAAAUUGUGUCCUGAUAUAUCAAAGAUUAUGGACAAAGAUGUCAUUACUUUCAUGUAUAGUGUAUAGCAUACUGUGUUAUUGCACCAACUUCAUGUCAUGGCCACUUGCCAGCUGAACAAGCUGAAAAAAACAUCCACAUAUUACUACCAUAAAGCUGAAAUGUUAGCAAACGUGUUAGCCUGUUUAACAUUGGAGCAACAUUAGCAUUCAUUUCCAUUCACCAGUCGAGAGAAAUAUUUACUCUCCACCAACUCCUGAGAAAACUUUCUAGCUCUUUAGGUUAGCUGCUAAAUGCUUCACUAUGCUCACCAGCUGGCUAACUUGUCUGCCAUUUGGUGGUGAGCAGGUAGUGCUGCUGGAGGUUGAUUAGAGUGGAGUUUGGAGGCCAAAAGAGCUAAAGUUAAACUUUAAAGUUUGUUUGUAGUCAGAUAAAAACCCAUGUUUUAACAGUAAAAUUUAACAAAGGUCGUGUAAAUUAGUUACCUGCCGUUUUAAAUAGCUUGCGCACUGAUUAAACCGUUACAAUAACUGACAACCGUUGAUGGAACUAAGUUUGAGCAGUCCACAAACGGACACCUGCCAUCCAGUCAGAAAAGAGUUAACGUUAAUGGCAAACGCACACAAUGUAAUGCGGUUCGCUUCUGACAAAUUACUGGGACCUUAUACACUUAUAGAGGUCUGUUUUAUCUACAUACUUCUCUCUUUAUUUGACUGCGCUUUGGGGUUGUAGUUCAUCUUCCAGCCAGUAGGCAGAGACGUUCAUCUUUGUGGUUAGAAGUGAGGAAAAAAUCAAAAUGGCGAUGCCCGGACCAGGAAGAUCAGCCAGUGUACUGUCAUCUGUUACUUUUCAGCUACUGCUGAAACUUACAACAAUCUACUUUGUCUUUUAUUUCCUGUUCACUCUCGGCUUGAUCAUCAGGAAGAGCUUGGUGCUGUCUUAUCCUGUUGAUGCUGUGGUCUGUGAUGUCAGUCUGUUGUUCCUCCUGGCUGCUCUGGAGUUCCUCCAUUUCUUCUGUGGUGUGAAGGGCAACCUGACGGAGAGUGAGGGCUAUAUUCUGGCUAACCUCAUUGUGACGGGGACAACUAUCCUGCUGACGGUCUACUUCCUGGUGUGGCAGACGUACGUGAUGUGGGCAGACGUAUUCAUCAGCAGUGUCUUACUCGUUGUCUAUGGCUUAGAUGGAGUUCUGGCUUUCAGCACUUUAGCCCGGCUGGCCAGGUCAGUUCCACAUCACAGACAUUUUAUAUUAAACCUCACCAGCCACGACAGAUGAGGAAGCUUCUAUUGGAUUAUGUGACAUGUUAGAUCAUAAACUGUCUGUUUUUUGACAUGGUCGCAUGUCAGCAUAAAUGAUAGACGGGUCGGUAAAUUACGAUAUCUGGUGUCAAACAUAGAUAACAUACUUCAUUAUCACAUGAAGAGACUGGCCUACAUUUUGGGCUCCAUAUAUUUUGAUUGACAAGAUAUGUCGAUGUAAUUAGCAUCUCAUACUUUUGUUAGCGUUCCUUUUGUUCACGCUUUUGUUCACGAAUGAAAUAAGCCCUGGUUCCCUUUAGGACUUGGUUGAAUUAUUGAUAUGGGUGGCAUUCAUUCAAGUGAUACAGUAUACCUUGUACAAUGUCGUCACAUCCUCAAAUUUUCCUCCCAAGAUAGAUCCAUUGACAACAAUCCCUUAUUCUGAAAUGAUGGAUAUUGUUUAAUCAGGUGGCUGAUGGCCGAAAUACAUUCAUAAAUCAGAGUGGAUGAAGACUUGUGAAAAAACUGUAAACUAAACUAAACAUGCAGUCAUUUGCAAGACUGAUUUUGGACAACUAAACAUUGUUUCACACACUUCUUGUGUUUCAUAUGCUUUAAGUUUGUUCAGGUACUGUUGAACGUACGGUUAUAGCAGAUUUUUAUUUGCUCUUCUUUAUGUCUUUCAGUGUCUAUUUAUGAAGAAGCCUUCUCUUCGUUGCCAUGUUGUAUGUUAUAGCUGAACAAAGCCUGUCUGCACUUCUUUGGUACAAGCAGAAAAGACAGUUUGAAUUUUUAGAAGGACUUGAAUGAAUCAGUAACUCAGGUCAACCGGAGUGUGGUCAUUUCCUAUUGAACCCACAAAUUCUAACUACCUCACACUGAGGUAGGUUCUAGGUUAAGAAUAAAUGUUUUAGUUUGGCUCCUUAAACUUUUUACUGUCCAUAUUUGAUGUCAGAUCACUCAUUCUCUGCACUUUAUUUACUCAGGUGAAGAUCGCAGAGCAGUUUUUAUUGUUGUAUCUAUUAGUAAUUUCCUACCCCACAUUCUUCAAACAGGUGAUUUCUCAGCACUGACAGCUUAAGUUAAUGAUCAAGCCCAGUAGCAAGGUUUCCAAAGUAACCAGUUUAAAAACAAAUCACAUUUCAGAGUGUGCUUGAGCAACAGCCGAGCACACAAGGACAAACUCGUGGCAUUUCACUGACUGUAGGCCAAGCCAGUGUGUCUCGCUGCUAGUAUAAUGCGGUGUGUCUUAACUGUCAUUUUUGUCAAAACAUGAUAAUUCAAGUGAUUGUUCACGUACAGUAAUAUACCCAGAAGAGGGCAACUGCAUUACCUUAAUGAUUUUCUUUGCAGGGACAGCACACUACAGCUGGACAAAGAGUGGUCAUUCUUACCAGCCAGUGACACUGAAACCUGGGCUGUGUUCCGCACUGUUGCUCCUCUUUCAUUCACCCUGUUGAAUCCAACUAGUUUAGACCAGUCACUACUUUGCUGCACAAAGUAAAAACCUGUGGAAAUUAAAUGCUUCCACAACUGAAGACCUUGCAUAUAAAAUUUUAUUUAGGCCUAUGCAUUUGUAAUUGCAUUUGUAAACAGAAAUCUGUUUUUUAUUGCCAUAUAAAUGUUGAUAAUGUCACCUAGGGCAUCUCAUAUAAGGUCUCCUUAGGGCACUUAUACUUUACAGCAGUGAUCAGAGGUUUGCAAAAUGAUUCUAAUAAAUAAAUACAUUCUGUUACAAAAAAUUA